UGGGGGAUAUUGCACAAUGGGGGAAACCCUGAUGCAGCAACGCCGCGUGAGGGAAGAAGGUCUUCGGAUUGUAAACCUAAGUUGUCAGGGACGAAAGGAAUGACGGUACCUGAAAAGAAAGCUCCGGCUAACUACGUGCCAGCAGCCGCGGUAAUACGUAGGUGGCGAGCGUUAUCCGGAUUUACUGGGUGUAAAGGGCGCGUAGGCGGGGAUACAAGUCAGGUGUGAAAUCUAUGGGCUUAACCCAUAAACUGCACUUGAAACUGUAUCUCUUGAGUGUCGGAGAGGUAGACGGAAUUCCUAGUGUAGCGGUGAAAUGCGUAGAUAUUAGGAAGAACACCAGUGGCGAAGGCGGUCUACUGGACGAUAACUGACGCUGAGGCGCGAAAGCGUGGGGAGCAAACAGGAUUAGAUACCCUGGUAGU
rnacentral:rRNA from 1 species